GGAGGUUUGGCCCUCCGUUGUCGGUUGGCAGGAGCGGGUGACAAAUCGCCAUAACGCUGCAACGGUUAAGAGCUGUUGUGGUGAGCGGUUAUGGAGAAAGCGUGGCAAGACCACGUCAGA
rfam:Planctomycetes bacterium GWF2_41_51 gwf2_scaffold_1489, whole genome shotgun sequence.